rnacentral:lncRNA from 1 species
AUGACAAACCAAGACACAUGUCACAAGGGGGAAAAUGACAGCUUUACUGCUGCGGUGAUUAUAAAAACAACGCAAAUUAACCACCAAUAUGGUUAUGUAAGUAGAAUAAAACAACUUUAUUGCAUUGUAAAUUAAAGACCGUGAAUAUAUUUUAAGAGUGUCAGACCUGAGAAGCUAAAGAUUUCCCUCAAAUUGCCACUAAUUGAUAUCCUUCCAAUUUUAUUAGUCUUAUUUUCCAACCAACUGAAAGCUUAAACUACAGUUAUUUUCCCCUCUAGAAAACUUUUGUUUUGUAGGGUUGGACAUUUUCCCUAUUUAUAUUCUUUGUAAGAUUUAUUUAGCAUAAUAAGACAGUCACAUUUAAGACUUAAUCAAACCUGGCCAUUUAAACAGAAAUACUUACGAACAAUAACAUCAAUAAAAUCAAAAAGUAAAUGUCAUAUUUGAUGUUUUGUUCAAACAGCUUUUUUGUUAGUGUGUCUUAAAGUCUCAGGAAAAUACAUUGAUAAAGCUUAGCCUGAAUUUUGCUGUAUAAAAUUCUUUGUGUGCUGUGUUUUAAGUUGUCGAGCUAGGCAAAGCCAUCAGGAAUAGGUGUUCAGGCAGCGCACUGUGCAUGGCUACCGCUUAUCAGAAGCUACAGGUUAAAUCCUGAGCAUCCUCUUUUGAUUCCAACUUCAAAUAUUGCGGCAUUAGCUGAAAAUCUCACUGCUAAUACCAAAGGCAAAUUGUUGAAUACUUUUGUUUCCAGUGAAACGAUAGCCAGAUAGAUCAACUCCGAGUUUUAAAUAAAAUAGGACCAACACUACUCAUUCGUCCAAUCAAACAUGAUUAUAUUACUUAUAAAAACCUAGGACCCUAUUGUAUGCUGUAUAAUACCAAUAGUCCCAAACUAGCAGAAUCAUGUAAUUUUGCACCAGGGAAAAUGUAUUAACAAAACACAUUUCUGAAGACGAAAUUCCUGAAUAUCAGAUGGAAUGGAGUGUGUAAAAAAACUAGUGUAGGAAUAUAGUAGGAUCUCAAGAAAUAUUUGUUUAAUGGUCAGUUGAAGAAACAGAUGGCUAAAUAGCCAUAUAUUAUAUUUGAAUAUGAAAAUUGAUCUGAGUUUCCCAUGGUCAGUGUUAAGAGCAGUAAGUUCCCCAUGGUCAGUGUUAAGAGUAGUUUACUUUGAACUGGGAAAACCAGGCAACCCCACAGCUGCUUCUUGAAGUUGUAUCUUUUGGCCAAAGGGUGGAUGGCUCAUCCUUUUCGGGUUACUCUAAAGUCAGUUCCCCAUUGCAUUACUGAUAGAUAUUUCGUUCUGUACCUGAUAUUAUUCUAUACACUUGACAAAACAAAGUUGAGGCAGGUACAAAUAUUACCACAUUACAGGCAAGAAAAUUAAAGCAUAGAGAGGAUGAAAAAUAAGGCAUCACAGCUAGUAAGUGGUGUGACUGGAACUCAGCCCAGAAGUUUCAGUUCUGAAGCCAGCAAUCGUGACCACGACACUAUGGUCCGGGACUGUGCAGAGACCUGCUAGGCAUAGAUUUUAUUUUAAUGUAAAAUAUUUGAGGAUGAACAGCCCUCUAAUGUAUCAGUGCUACCCAGGACUGACAAGUAGACCUGCCUCCUAAUUAUCAGUGGGGUCACUUUGAUACUCAGGAGGCAUCUCCAGGUCAAUUUGUAUGACCCUUAAUCACCUCCCAUGACUUACCAUUCCUCUCUCUCUCCCCCUCUUUCCAGUCAGCCAAUCAAUCACCUUUCUUCAGCUCUUUACUCAUAGAUAUCUUCUGACUCCUUGCUACUCAGAGUGUGGUCUGCAGACCAGCAUCAUCAGUAUCAUGUGUGUUUGUAAGAAAUGCAGAUUCCCAGGCCAUUCCCAAACCUAAUGAGUCAGAGUUUUCCCCUUAACGAGAUCUGCAUGCAAUUCAAACAUGCAUUAAAUUUUGAGAAGCAUGGGUCUGAUACCUGUCCCCCAGACCCCCGGGCAGCUAGUGUAGAACAUUUCCUUGGUUUGGGAAGGUUCGCGUCUCCAUUCCACUCUAGGACUUACUUGUUUUCUUCAAGGAGCCCCUUUUAUGGUCCUAAACACAUGCACGUGCACACACACACACACACACACACACACACACACACACACACGCCCUUUUGGGGAAGGCGAGUUCUUCCACUUGCUCAUGCCUCCGUCCUGCCCUGGCCCUCCCCGGCUUCUCUUUCUGCCCAGCCCACCUCCCAUCCCCAGCUGAGACCACUCCUCUUUACAGCAGUAGGUCCCACUCUUGGAGAUUUCAAAGAACAGUAACAUGGUUAGGAAAGUAACUCCAGGUUGCUUUCUUUUUUAUUUUGCCAAAUAAAAGCAUUAAAAUGCAACAAGAAAACAAGCCACAAUUAACUAUAAUUAUUCAUAAUCUCAGAAUAAAGGAUAGGAUAUUUAAUUGAAUAAUUGACAGAAAAAUUGACAUUUUUUUUUGUUUUUUCUUGUUUCGCCACAGCCUGAUUAGAAGAAAAGUUAUUAAACAGCCUCACAGACUAAUAUUUAUGUAUCACUUCAGAUUUUGUAACCCUUGUCCUGAAAAUGUUGGUGGGUGGGGUCCAGACCUAUCUCUCUCUCUCCUUUGGUCACCUAUUCCAAGAAAGCUUUUAUUAUCCAAAUUGAGACAAGAGAAGUGACUUCCUAACAAUUACUUCCCAAUAUGCCGUACUCGUUAAUGAAAGUUGGCUAUUUCCUGUAUGAAAAUGUCACAUUCAUGUUUGCCCUUAAUAGUUUUUGAGAUCAAGCAUUUUUAUCUCAUUUUAUCACACCAAUGAAAAGGCAGCCAGUUUUAUAAAGAGGAGCUACACAGAGGAAAAAGUACUGAAGUAUGCAAAAGGACAGAAGCCUGGAAGUUCAGCUGUUUGCUGGAUGAACAGGAAGCCGUUCUUAGUUACAUCAACUUAACAAAUAUUUGGAAGAAUGUUGACCAUGACCUCCAGACUCCAUGAGAGUCCCCAUCACCCACUUAUUAAUAUUUUCCCUCUCACUUGCAGUGCAGUCAGGAGAACCACAUCUGUUUGUUCACUGUGAGAUUCUCCUCAGGACCUAACACAAAAAUAGUAAAGAUUAAUUGCAGUAAUUCAUAGUAAGAGUUCCCGUCGUGGCGCAGUGGUUAACGAAUCCGACUAGGAACCAUGAGGUUGCGGGUUCGGUCCCCACCCUUGCUCAGUGGGUUAAGGAUCCGGCGUUGCCGUGAGCUGUGGUGUAGGUUGCAGACGCGGCUCGGAUCCGUGUUGCUGUGGCUCUGGCGUAGGCCGGUGGCUCCAGCUCCGAUUCGACCCCUAGCCUGGGAACCUCCAUAUGCCGUGGGAGCGGCCCAAAGAAAUAAC